UACGAGGGGGGCAAGCGUUGUUCGGAAUUAUUGGGCGUAAAGGGCGCGUAGGCGGUGCGGCAAGUCAGGUGUGAAACCUCCAGGCUCAACUUGGAGCUUGCAUCUGAAACUGCCGUGCUAGAGUGCGGGAGAGGAGAGUGGAAUUCCUGGUGUAGCGGUGAAAUGCGUAGAUAUCGGAAGGAACAUCAGUGGCGAAAGCGGCUUCCUGGUCCAGCACCGACGUUCAGGCACGAAAGCGUGGGGAGCAAACAGG
rnacentral:rRNA from 1 species